AUUGAACGCUGGCGGCAGGCCUAACACAUGCAAGUCGAACGGUAACAGGAAGACGCUUGCUUCUUUGCUGACGAGUGGCGGACGGGUGAGUAAUGUCUGGGAAACUGCCUGAUGGAGGGGGAUAACUACUGGAAACGGUAGCUAAUACCGCAUAACGUCGCAAGACCAAAGAGGGGGACCUUCGGGCCUCUUGCCAUCGGAUGUGCCCAGAUGGGAUUAGCUAGUAGGUGGGGUAACGGCUCACCUAGGCGACGAUCCCUAGCUGGUCUGAGAGCAUGACCAGCCACACUGGAACUGAGACACGGUCCAGACUCCUACGGGAGGCAGCAGUGGGGAAUAUUGCACAAUGGGCGCAAGCCUGAUGCAGCCAUGCCGCGUGUAUGAAGAAGGCCUUCGGGUUGUAAAGUACUUUCAGCGGGGAGGAAGGGAGUAAAGUUAAUACCUUUGCUCAUUGACGUUACCCGCAGAAGAAGCACCGGCUAACUCCGUG
rnacentral:rRNA from 1 species